GUAUAAGGGCAUAAAAACACGUUUUGGUUGGUAGUACAAAAGCAUAAUUUGUCAGUAACCUUCCCUCCUGGGUCGUCCAUUGUUCUUGUUCUAUUU
rnacentral:ncRNA from 1 species